AUUGAACGCUGGCGGCAGGCCUAACACAUGCAAGUCGAGCGGAUUAAGGGAGCUUGCUCCUGGAUUCAGCGGCGGACGGGUGGGUAAUGCCUAGGAAUCUGCCUGGUAGUGGGGGAUAACGUCCGGAAACGGGCGCUAAUACCGCAUACGUCCUGAGGGAGAAAGUGGGGGAUCUUCGGACCUCACGCUAUCAGAUGAGCCUAGGUCGGAUUAGCUAGUUGGUGGGGUAAAGGCCUACCAAGGCGACGAUCCGUAACUGGUCUGAGAGGAUGAUCAGUCACACUGGAACUGAGACACGGUCCAGACUCCUACGGGAGGCAGCAGUGGGGAAUAUUGGACAAUGGGCGAAAGCCUGAUCCAGCCAUGCCGCGUGUGUGAAGAAGGUCUUCGGAUUGUAAAGCACUUUAAGUUGGGAGGAAGGGCAGUAAGUUAAUACCUUGCUGUUUUGACGUUACCAACAGAAUAAGCACCGGCUAACUUCGUG
rnacentral:rRNA from 1 species